rnacentral:rRNA from 1 species
UACGUAGGGGGCAAGCGUUGUCCGGAAUCAUUGGGCGUAAAGAGCGUGUAGGCGGCCCGGUAAGUCCGCUGUGAAAGUCCAGGGCUCAACCCUGGAAUGCCGGUGGAAACUGUCGGGCUAGAGUCCGGAAGAGGCGAGUGGAAUUCCUGGUGUAGCGGUGAAGUGCGCAGAUAUCAGGAGGAACACCAAUGGCGAAGGCAGCUCGCUGGGACGGCACUGACGCUGAGACGCGAAAGCGUGGGGAGCAAACAGG